AGCUUUUCGCAGUGGCAGUAUCGUGGCCAAUGAGGUUUAUCCGAGGCGCAAUUAUUGCUAAUUGAAAACUUUUCCCAAUACCCCGCCAUGACGACUUGAAAUAUAGUUGGCGUUGGCAAUUUUUGGCAGUCUCUACGGAGA
rnacentral:snRNA from 1 species